AGACCCGGAUGAGUCCUAGUCCCCGCCACACACAGGUCGUGGGUUCUCCUUUGAGAGUGACCACUGGUUCCUAGAGCUUUUCCUAAACUGGAGACGGAUCCUGCCCUGGGGGUCUCAGUCACCGCGAGGACUCGAGGGUAACUGCCAGAGGUCCCAGGUGGCCCGAGGGCUAUUUUAAAAUAUUUUCUGUUUCCUUGAUUUCUCCUCCUUUGGAUGUAUUGGGCUUCCUGACUCUUUGAAGAAUCUAUCCAGUGUCUUUAAGUAGGAGAAACCCCGGAGCAUGAGCCCUCGUCCUUCACCGUCCCGGGGACAGGGGGACCCCCAGAUGCUGCACGGCUGACAGGCCAACGUGGCAGAAGCUCCAGCUUCACAGGAAGCCAGUGACCAUGAGAGUCUGUAGCUGUAACGAAGCCACAGAGCUGUGGCUUUCUUUCCCCUUCAGCUCUAGGAAAGGUUAUCUGCCCUGCACAGAUCUCCGGAGGCCUGGCUGGGCUCUGAGAGCAUCAGACUGAUUAUCGUAAGAAAAUAAUCUCUGCAGACACAUUCCUUGCUAGAAGCAGGGGACAAAGCCCAGCUUCAAAGACAAUUCCACACACGCCCUCCCUGCCCUGCACAGCUG
rnacentral:lncRNA from 1 species